UUUGGGCCCCAAGGGGUACCAAUAGUCUUUGGAAGGGGGAAGACCUAUAUCCCAUUGGGUUCGGUCAUAAACCCACACGCGCGCGCCGCCGCCGCCGUCCGUUCGACCGGCCGGCUCGGCACAUGCCCGAGUCCGGUUCGGUGCAGGUCCGGGUCGACCUUUACACUAUAUUCACUUUUUGGACAAAAUUUUGGGCCAAAUUGUAAAUAAUCAAAUUCUUGGGUACAAAAUUUAUUUAAAUUUUGGCUUAUUCCGGGUGUUUUAUUUUCUUGUAACAGUCGACUGUUUCGACUGUUUACCGACCAAACAGUCGACUGUUAACCGACUUAACAGACACGACUUUUAAGAACAGUAUGUCUGUUCGGAUUUUUGAGGCUUGUCUGAAAGGUGAUGACUGUUCGAAUGGCCACGAACAAGUCUAUAAAUAGCCAGCCUUUCUACCAGAAAAUUUACACCAUUUUCAUUGCAAACUUUCUGUGCUUUGAAUCUCAUUUCCCUCUCUCUCGUUCUGAUAUUGUCUCGAAGUCAAAAACACUUCGUUGAGUUCGUUGGAACUCCUACAGACUGCAGUGCUGCUUCCGUAGGAGACGAAAAAUUCGUUCUAUCCUGAGAAACGAUUGCUGGACGCCUUUAGCACCAUUGAAGGCAGCAAAUUCGUUUUAAGGANN
rnacentral:lncRNA from 1 species